rnacentral:rRNA from 1 species
CGUGGGUAACCUGCCUUAUAGUGGGGGAGUAGCCUUUCGAAAGGAAGAUUAAUACCGCAUAAGAUUGUAGUAUCGCAUGAUAUAGCAAUUAAAGGAGCAAUUCGCUAUAAAGAUGGACCCGCGUCGCAUUAGCUAGUUGGUGAGGUAAUGGCUCACCAAGGCGACGAUGCGUAGCCGACCUGAGAGGGUGAUCGGCCACAUUGGGACUGAGACACGGCCCAGACUCCUACGGGAGGCAGCAUG